ACUUUUAACAACGGAUCUCUUGGCUCUCGCAUCGAUGAAGAACGCAGCGAAAUGCGAUAAGUAAUGUGAAUUGCAGAAUUCAGUGAAUCAUCGAAUCUUUGAACGCACCUUGCGCCCUUUGGUAUUCCGAAGGGCAUGCCUGUUUGAGUGUCAUGAA
rnacentral:rRNA from 1 species